AACGAACGCUGGCGGCAGGCCUAACACAUGCAAGUCGAGCGCGCCCUUCGGGGUGAGCGGCGGACGGGUGAGUAACGCGUGGGAACGUGCCCUUUUCCACGGAAUAGCCUCGGGAAACUGAGAGUAAUACCGUAUACGCCCUUUGGGGGAAAGAUUUAUCGGAAAAGGAUCGGCCCGCGUUGGAUUAGGUAGUUGGUGGGGUAAUGGCCUACCAAGCCGACGAUCCAUAGCUGGUUUGAGAGGAUGAUCAGCCACACUGGGACUGAGACACGGCCCAGACUCCUACGGGAGGCAGCAGUGGGGAAUCUUAGACAAUGGGGGCAACCCUGAUCUAGCCAUGCCGCGUGAGUGAUGAAGGCCUUAGGGUUGUAAAGCUCUUUCAGCUGGGAAGAUAAUGACGGUACCAGCAGAAGAAGCCCCGGCUAACUCCGUG
rnacentral:rRNA from 1 species